GGACUACUGGGGUAUCUAAUCCCGUUCGCUCCCCUAGCUUUCGCACCUGAGCGUCAAGAGUCAGCCAGAUACGUGCCUUCGCCAUUGGUGUUCUUCCAGAUAUCUACGCAUUUCACCACUCCACCUGGAGUUCCCGUAUCCUCUCUGACCUUCAAGUCGCGCAGUUUAGACGGCACUCCCCUCGUUGAGCGAGAGGCUGGAACCAUCUACUUGCGCGACCGCCUGCGUGCGCUUUACGCCCAGUAACUCCGGACAACGCUCGCCCCCUACGUAUUACCGCGGCUGCUGGCAC
rnacentral:rRNA from 1 species